GGGGAUAUUGCACAAUGGGGGAAACCCUGAUGCAGCGACGCCGCGUGAGGGAAGACGGUUUUCGGAUUGUAAACCUCUGUCUUUGGGGACGAAUUGAGACGGUACCCAAGGAGGAAGCUCCGGCUAACUACGUGCCAGCAGCCGCGGUAAUACGUAGGGAGCAAGCGUUGUCCGGAAUUACUGGGUGUAAAGGGAGCGUAGGCGGGAUAGUAAGUUGAUUGUUAAAACUAUCGGCUCAACUGGUAGAUGCGAUCAAAACUGCAAUUCUUGAGUGAAGUAGAGGCAGGCGGAAUUCCUAGUGUAGCGGUGAAAUGCGUAGAUAUUAGGAGGAACACCAGUGGCGAAGGCGGCCUGCUGGGCUUUAACUGACGCUGAGGCUCGAAAGUGUGGGUAGCAAAC
rnacentral:rRNA from 1 species